CAUGGUUGUCGUCAGCUCGUGCCGUGAGGUGUCGGCUCAAGUGCCAUAACGAGCGCAACCCCUGUCUCCUGUUGCCAUCAGGUAAAGCUGGGCACACUGGAGAGACUGCCGCCGUAAGGUGCGAGGAAGGUGGGGAUGACGUCAAAUCAGCACGGCCCUUACGUCCGGGGCUACACACGUGUUACAAUGGCCGGUACAGAAGGAUGGUGCCCCGCAAGGUGCAUCGAACCUGAAAAACCGGUCCCAGUUCGGACUGGGGUCUGCAACCCGACCCCACGAAGCUGGAUUCGCUAGUAAUCGCGCAUCAGCCAUGACGCGGUGAAUACGUUCCCGGGCCUUGUACACACCGCCCGUCAAGCCAUGAAAGCCGGGAGUGCCUGAAGUC
rnacentral:rRNA from 1 species